GACGAACGCUGGCGGCGUGCUUAACACAUGCAAGUCGAACGGAACGGCCCUGCUUUUGUGGGGUGCUCGAGUGGAGAAAGGGUGAGUAACCCGUGAGUAACCUGCGCUUGACUUUGGGAUAACUUCAGGAAACUGGGGCUCACACCGGAUAGGAGCUCCUGCUGCAUGGUGGGGGUUGGACAGCUUCGACGGUUGGGGAUGGACUCGUGGCUUAUCAGCUUGUUGGUGGGGUAGUGGCUUACCAAGGCUUUGACGGGUCGCCGGCCUGAGUGGGUGACCGGCCACAUUGGGAGGGAGAUGCGGCCGGGACAGCUACGGGAGGCAGGAGGGGGGAAGAAUGCACAAGGGACGGAAGCCAGAUGCAGCAACGCCGCGUGCGGGAUGACGGCCGGCGGGUGGUAAGCCGCCUGCGCCUGUGACGAAGCGUGAGUGACGGUAAUGGGUAAAGAAGCACCGGCUAACUACGUG
rnacentral:rRNA from 1 species